rnacentral:rRNA from 1 species
UACGAAGGGGGCUAGCGUCGCUCGGAAUCACUGGGCGUAAAGCGCACGUAGGCGGCUUUUUAAGUCAGGGGUGAAAUCCUGGAGCUCAACUCCAGAACUGCCUUUGAUACUGAGGAUCUUGAGUUCGGGAGAGGUGAGUGGAACUGCGAGUGUAGAGGUGAAAUUCGUAGAUAUUCGCAAGAACACCAGUGGCGAAGGCGGCUCAUUGGCCCGAUACUGACGCUGAGGCACGAAAGCGUGGGGAGCAAACAGG